rnacentral:rRNA from 1 species
UACGGGGGGGCAAGCGUUGUUCGGAAUUACUGGGCGUAAAGGGCGCGUAGGCGGCCUGCUAAGUCGGACGUGAAAUCCCCCGGCUCAACCGGGGAACUGCGUCCGAUACUGGUGGGCUCGAAUCCGGGAGAGGGAUGUGGAAUUCCAGGUGUAGCGGUGAAAUGCGUAGAUAUCUGGAGGAACACCGGUGGCGAAGGCGGCAUCCUGGACCGGUAUUGACGCUGAGGCGCGAAAGCCAGGGGAGCAAACGGG